UUAUUACAGGUAAAAACUACACGUGUAACGAAAUCCAUUAAAUCGGGAAGCUCUUCUUCACCAGUUAUAGAGACAACUUGUGAUAUCGAGGAGAUCUGGGACGAAGAAAUUCUAAAACAAUUGUUGGAACAAGCUAAAACUUACGAAGAACGCCGUAAAAUCAGAUCACGUUUGAGGGAACUUAUGGCUGACCGUGCAG